GUCUCAGCGCUACCAUAAAGAGAGGGCUGGGAGAAGCCUAGAGGGGAACGGAGCUUGGCCCACCGCCUCCGGGGCGGACAGGGCGGGGCGGCGUGAAUUGGCGAAUGAAUCCAGGGAACUACAAGGAAUUCAAUAUAGCUGGGGUAGGAAGCUGGAGAGAUUGAAGUCCCUUUGCACGUUGGAUGAGUUCCCUGACCAGACGGGGCCACCAAGUUGGCUCUGCAGAUGGGCAGAGCCACUGGCUGAGAUUUCUACUCUGGUGCCACUGCAAGCAGGAAUGUGGUCCACCAAGAUCUGAUUGAUAUAUAUGCCCAGGAGUGGGAUUGCUGG